AGUCGUACGAUAACAUGUCCUUCGGGGCAUGGAGUAAGUGGCGCACGGGUGAGUAACACGUGGGUAACCUGCCCUGGGGCUCGGGAUAACCGGCCGAAAGGCCUGCUAAUACCGGAUGAGACCACAUGAGCUCCGGCUCAAGGGGUCAAAGUCGGCCUCUCGACGAAGCCGACACCACAGGAUGGGCCCGCGGACCAUUAGCUUGUUGGUGAGGUAACGGCUCACCAAGGCAAAGAUGGUUAGCUGGUCUGAGAGGAUGAUCAGCCACACUGGAACUGAGACACGGUCCAGACUCCUACUGGAGGCAGCAGUGAGGAAUAUUGCGCAAUGGGGGAAACCCUGACGCAACAACGCCGCGUGGGUGAAGAAGGCCUUCGGGUUGUAAAGCCCUGUCGGGCGGGAAGAAACCUCUGCAGGUGAAUAGUCUGUGGAGCUGACGGUACCGCCGAAGGAAGCACCGGCUAACUCCGUGCCGGCAGCCGCGGUAAGACGGAGGGUGCAAGCAUUGUUCGGAAUUACUGCUCGUAAAGCGCGUGUAGGCGGUUCAAUGAUUCGAGUGUGAAAUCGCUACGCUCAUCCUCGGCAGUGCUUUCGAAACUGUCGGGCUUG
rnacentral:rRNA from 1 species